CCACAUCACAUUUAAACAGCGGUUCCCAUAUGAUCAUUGAAGUCAAGCAAUGUUGAGUCUGAUCAGUAUUGAGGUGGGUGACCACUUACAAAUAUCAGCUGCUGUAUG